AGGGGUGGGGGCAUGUAAGGAUGCAAUUUCAACCCUUAUCUCUUGAUUCUCCGAUUUUUCUGGAAUUAAGUCAGACUAGCAACAUCAGAAUGUAGUUUUUAUCAUCUGCACAUAAGGCAGUAAGUUUAGCAUAUUCUCUACCAGUUGACCUGAGAAAAGAUGAAAGAAAAAAUUAACAUUUAAUUGCAAUGAAAAUUUCCCAAUGGCUUUUGUGUUUGCCGUUCAAGCACAGUACCCAUAACUGCUGAGAUGAAAAAGGAUAUCAUCUGAAUAUUUUUUUAAAGGAUGUGGUCCAUCAUUUUCAUCCAUGGAGCUGCAAACUUUGGUGGAUGCUAAUGAGGUAGAGGAGCCACUGUGUUGGGAGCUCUGGAAAUGGAGAAAGACAAAUGAAGACAGAAAUGAUUCUUAAAGUGCACCUGUAUCUCCGCC